UUGAUCGACAGGCAUUAUUAUCAAAUAUCAUUAGCACACUGUUGUAAACAUUUUGGAAGCGAGAUAUGAUAUGAGCAAUGCUGGCUAAAGCGUAGGGCGAGAACUCCAUAACUUGAUUUACAAGCAUUAUUAACAUACUGCAAACAUCUUGGAACAUUGCCUCACGCAUAAAAUACUAGAGCGGUCGCCAAACAGUAAAACAACCGAAGCAGUCUUUACUGAAGGAGUGAGGUCGCUCCACCACUUGGGAGACAGGCAAUAGAAGAGUCUGGACCGGGCCAGGCAGCGGCCAGGCUGUCGCAGCAGGGGACAGCUAGCCAACCUGCUAUAACAAGUUACAGGACCGAGUGGGGCCAUAUGGCUGAACCAUGACCUGGAGGGGUCAAGUGUUGGCAUUUUGAGGAGCGGUGUAACUUCGGCCAUCUUGAAGGCAGAUGGGACACAUCCUGACUCCAUGGAUUAAUUUAUGAUGGCGGCUAUGGAGUACAAUGACAAGUUUAGGCGACACCUUGGAUUUGAAAAUCCAAACUUGUGAUUACAAUGCUCUGUAUCCUUUACACUACGCAACCACACUGAAAUUAAAGGAAUUAAAAUUUUACAAGAAGACACCUGUCAUUUUAGGGGAUAGCCUGCAUCAUGGCCCAUAUUAACUGGGAAACUGGGAUCACAGCGCAUGCACUACAAGUGGACACCUAUAGGAAGUGUUUGAAUCGUUGCCAAGCGGUGUCUUGAAAUCAUGCUCAGAUUACUUCUGCUGACUCACUCCUGUUUUAUCUUUUUUAUUUAUUCAACAACUAUACCAAGACCUUACUAUUUAUAUUGCUUUCCACAUAUAACCUCCUUAGCUGCAGUAGAAGUACAUACAGUGUCCCACAAACUGGCUCAGUAAUAAUGGACUGCCAUCAGAUAAUCAAUGCCAGCUUAUUAUGAUGUGGUAGCAUGGCAUGUUUGCUACCUCGUUCAGUUAAAUGAUUUACUGAAAGCACCAGUGCUUACUGCUGGGGGUCAUAUGUGCCCCACAAAGCCUGCAUUCUGUCUUGAAGCUGUGAGUGACAUCACCAUAGACAUCUUUUACAUUCCAUUGAUCCGUCCAUUCCAUCACCACACCUUCGGGGUACAAUGAGCUGGCAAUGGAGGGGAAUCAGGCCAUCCUGGAAAUGAUUCAGUUGACUAAACCAAUUCUCAAGCUGAAGGACAAUUGGAAAUGGAAAGAAUUCAUGUAGAUCAGUGGUCUCCAACCCUGGUCCCGGCGAGCCACAGGGUCUGCUGGUUUUUGUUUUCACCUUAAAAUUAGCACCCAAUUGAGACCCAAGACACCAGGUGAGUUGAGUUAACUGUGUAAUCAACUGCUCUAAUUGAUUCAUGAAGUACAGAGUCACUAUGAAAACCAGCAGACGCUGUAGCUCUACAGGACCAGGGUUGGAGACCACUGAUGUAGAUAAUGCCACAGGUUUUGCUAAGAUGGUGCAAUAUGCCACUGAGGAGGGGGCAUUGCAACGGUACUUUAUUUGAUUGAUUUGGCUAAUAAUGGGAGACCUGGGGCUAUUAGCUAUGAUAAUGGGCAUUAUGUGCCAUAGGAUGUGUCUCCCAGCUAACUGGGGACUGGGUGCAGAUGCAUUUGAUAACGGUUGUAAUGCUCCUGCAGACCUGCAUUCACCACACAGCAAUUCCUCUUUUAAAUGAAUGUGUGGGUAAGGUUAGUUUAACAGAGCGUGAGUCUGUUACACAAAAGGGGGUACUGUUGCGUUGUGCUGGUACUCAUGCUCGUGCUGCUGGGCUGGUCAGGCCUUCCAGUGCAAACUCUGAGGCCUAUGCUUAUAGGCCUUGAGUUUCUAA